rnacentral:tRNA from 2 species
AAGUAAGUAGUAUCAACAGUAAUGAAAGGAAAUAUUUUAAAGCUUACUGAUUUGUAAUCAAUAGGUCCGCGGUUCGACUCCGUGCGGGGGCACCA